GACGAACGCUGGCGGCGUGCUUAACACAUGCAAGUCGAACGGAAAGGCCCUGCUUUUGUGCGGUGCUCGAGUGGCGAACGGGUGAGUAACACGUGAGUAACCUGCCCUUGACUUUGGGAUAACUUCAGGAAACUGGGGCUAAUACCGGAUAGGAGCUCCUGCUGCAUGGUGGGGGGUGGAAAGUUUCGGCGGUUGGGGCUGGAUUCGCGGCUUAUCAGCUUGUUGGUGGGGGAGUGGCUUACCAAGGCCUUGACGGGUAGCCGGCCUGAGAGGGUGACCGGCCACAAUGGGACUGAGGUACGGCCCAGACUCCUACGGGAGGCAGCGGUGGGGAGUAUUGCACAAUGGGAGGAAGCCUGAUGCAACAGCGCCGCGUGCGGGAUGACGGCCUUCGGGUUGUAAACCGCUUUCGCCUGUGACGAAGCGUGAGUGACGGUAAUGGGUGAAGAAGCACCGGCUAACUACGUG
rnacentral:rRNA from 1 species